GAUGAACGCUGGCGGCGUGCCUAAUACAUGCAAGUCGAGCGAACGGACGAGAAGCUUGCUUCUCUGAUGUUAGCGGCGGACGGGUGAGUAACACGUGGAUAACCUACCUAUAAGACUGGGAUAACUUCGGGAAACCGGAGCUAAUACCGGAUAAUAUUUUGAACCGCAUGGUUCAAAAGUGAAAGACGGUCUUGCUGUCACUUAUAGAUGGAUCCGCGCUGCAUUAGCUAGUUGGUAAGGUAACGGCUUACCAAGGCAACGAUGCAUAGCCGACCUGAGAGGGUGAUCGGCCACACUGGAGCUGAGACGCGGUCCAGACUCCUACGGGAGGCAGCAGUAGGGAAUCUUCCGCAACGGUCGAAAGCCUGACGGAGCAACGCCGCGUGAGUGAUGAAGGUCUUCGGAUCGUAAAACUCUGUUAUUAGGGAAGAACAUAUGUGUAAGUAACUGUGCACAUCUUGACGGUACCUAAUCAGAAAGCCACGGCUAACUACGUG
rnacentral:rRNA from 1 species